rnacentral:rRNA from 1 species
GACGAACGCUGGCGGCGUGCUUAACACAUGCAAGUCGAACGGAAAGGCCCUGCUUUUUUGGGGUGCUCGAGUGGCGAACGGGUGAGUAACACGUGAGUAACCUGCCCUUGACUUUGGGAUAACUUCAGGAAACUGGGGCUAAUACCGGAUAGGAGCUCCUGCUUCAUUGUGGUGGUUGGAAAGUUUCGGCGGUUGGUGAUGGACUCGCGGCUUAUCAGCUUGUUGGUGGGGUAGUGGCUUACCAAGGCUUUGACGGGUAGCCGGCCUGAGCGGGUGACCGGCCACAUUGGGACUGAGAUACGGCCCAGCAUCCUACGGGAGGCAGCAGUGGGGAAUAUUGCACUAUGGGCGGAAGGCUGAUGCAGCAACGCCGCGUGCGGGAUGAAGGCCUUCGGGUUGUAAACCGCUUUCGCCUGUGACGAAGCGUGAGUGACGGUAAUGGGUAAAGAAGCACCGGCUAACUACGUG